GGGAGUUUACUUCGCAUGGACGAAGUCUGACGGAGCAACGCCGCGUGAGUGAUGAAGGUUUUCGGAUCGUAAAGCUCUGUUGUUAGGGAAGAACAAGUGCAAGAGUAACUGCUUGCACCUUGACGGUACCUAACCAGAAAGCCACGGCUAACUACGUGCCAGCAGCCGCGGUAAUACGUAGGUGGCAAGCGUUGUCCGGAAUUAUUGGGCGUAAAGGGCUCGCAGGCGGUUUCUUAAUCUGAUGUGAAAGCCCCCGGCUCAACCGGGGAGGGUCAUUGGAAACUGGGAAACUUGAGUGCAGAAGAGGAGAGUGGAAUUCCACGUGUAGCGGUGAAAUGCGUAGAGAUGUGGAGGAACACCAGUGGCGAAGGCGACUCUCUGGUCUGUAACUGACGCUGAGGAGCGAAAGCGUGGGGAGCGAACAGGAUUAGAUACCCUGGUAGUCCACGCCGUAAACGAUGAGUGCUAAGUGUUAGGGGGUUUCCGCCCCUUAGUGCUGCAGCUAACGCAUUAAGCACUCCGCCUGGGGAGUACGGUCGCAAGACUGAAACUCAAAGGAAUUGACGGGGGCCCGCACAAGCGGUGGAGCAUGUGGUUUAAUUCGAAGCAACGCGAAGAACCUUACCAGGUCUUGACAUCCUCUGACAACCCUAGAGAUAGGGCUUUCCCUUCGGGGACAGAGUGACAGGUGGUGCAUGGUUGUCGUCAGCUCGUGUCGUGAGAUGUUGGGUUAAGUCCCGCAACGAGCGCAACCCUUGAUCUUAGUUGCCAGCAUUUAGUUGGGCACUCUAAGGUGACUGCCGGUGACAAACCGGAGGAAGGUGGGGAUGACGUCAAAUCAUCAUGCCCCUUUAUGACCUGGGCUACACACGUGCUACAAUGGACAGAACAAAGGGCUGCGAGACCGCAGGGUUUAGC
rnacentral:rRNA from 1 species